CACUCCUACGGGAGGCAGCAGUGGGGAAUUUUGGACAAUGGGCGAAAGCCUGAUCCAGCAAUGCCGCGUGUGUGAAGAAGGCCUUCGGGUUGUAAAGCACUUUUGUCCGGAAAGAAAUCCUUGGCUCUAAUACAGUCGGGGGAUGACGGUACCGGAAGAAUAAGCACCGGCUAACUACGUGCCAGCAGCCGCGGUAAUACGUAGGGUGCGAGCGUUAAUCGGAAUUACUGGGCGUAAAGCGUGCGCAUGCGGUUUGCUAAGACCGAUGUGAAAUCCCCGGGCUCAACCUGGGAACUGCAUUGGUGACUGGCAGGCUAGAGUAUGGCAGAGGGGGGUAGAAUUCCACGUGUAGCAGUGAAAUGCGUAGAGAUGUGGAGGAAUACCGAUGGCGAAGGCAGCCCCCUGGGCCAAUACUGACGCUCAUGCACGAAAGCGUGGGGAGCAAACAGGAUUAGAUACCCCGGUAGUCCCAUGAU
rnacentral:rRNA from 1 species